UACGGAGGGUGCAAGCGUUGUCCGGAUUUAUUGGGUUUAAAGGGUGCGUAGGCGGGCCUUUAAGUCAGUGGUGAAAGCCCACAGCUCAACUGUGGAACCGCCAUUGAUACUGAAGGCCUUGAGUACCGUUGAGGUAGGCGGAAUUUAUGGUGUAGCGGUGAAAUGCAUAGAUACCAUAAAGAGCACCGAUAGCGUAGGCAGCUUACUAAACGGUAACUGACGCUGAGGCACGAAAGCAUGGGUAGCGAACAGG
rnacentral:misc_RNA from 1 species